rnacentral:lncRNA from 1 species
AGUUCCAACACCGCCGGUUUGUUCGGCGCAUACGCGAGCAGCCUCCCCUCCUCGUGCUUUAUUCCAACACGAAUUGCGGCGGCUUAUUUUACAGCAGCGGCUGCCGCCGGCCCGGCGCGGCGAAGCUUUGUUUGGAAUGCUUGGUUCCGUCCAAAGCUUCUACUUUUUUUAUGCAGCGCGUGCAUCGGUUGCGUUCGGCUUCUCGGCCAUUCGACGCCCCCGGUAGGCAGCUGUGGAACCGUUCCAUCUUGCGAAAGACGUAGCCUCGUCAUUCAGCGGAUGGGGGGGAAGCUGAUCGAUCUGGGAGGACCCGGCAAUCCAUCCUAGGAAAAUUCUGUUCCGUGUAGGAUUAUUCGGUGGUUGAAUGAUCGGCUCGUAGCGAGCGGUGCGCGUUUGCCGUAUUCUCUCGGCCAUCUCACUUUGGUUGGCAUGGGAGAAAAGUCCGGUCAUGUCGUCGGUGUACUGUCAACUUUGUGAAAUGAUGUCAUGUGUUGCCAUUGUGCGGUCAAGCGAUCUCCUUGCCAUUACUUCUGAGAGGUCAAAUAUACAGCUAGCUGCACAUAUAUUUGUGGGCACUUUCUGAAAAAGAAGAAGAAGAGAAAUACAAUGGGAUUGCUAAAGCAAGAAAUCUACCUUUUUGUUGCUUUCCCCUCUCUUUUUGUUUCGUGGCAGCCAUCUUUUGAGAAUUUAUUACCUUUUCUCUUUGAUUGAAUUUUGUAUAAUUAAGCUGGUUCUUUUACAUAAGCAUCUUGGUCUCUGGCCGUGUUUCAUGCCAAUUGCCAAAGCUUGCAUUUGUAAACAUAUACUCCCUCCAUCUUGCAAAGACCGUUCGUUUAGCCUUCAAAACUUGUCCCACUUCAUAUAACUUUUAGACCAUCCAAUAAAGAUCCUUAUAAUACCUUCUGGCCCAGUUAACGAAUCGAUUAUUUACUCCCACCAUCGAUACUCGAGCUAGACUCACUAAAUAAGGAAAGCUAAUAGGUCUGACAAUUACUGCAAGCGUGCAUGCAUAAUUAAUUCUACUCAGUAAUCCAUCCGAUUCCAUCCGAUUAAGAAGAU